GCUGCUCGCCAUGGGCCUCGGUGGCAACCAGCGGCGAAAGGAGCAGAAGAGCCACGCGGCAGGCCUGGCCGGGCAUGGAGAAAAAGCGCGUCAAUGAAAAGCCGGAUGGCUCUGGCGGGCGCAUGGCGCGAAGUAUGGCCGAUA
rnacentral:ncRNA from 1 species